rnacentral:rRNA from 1 species
UAGGGAAUCUUCCACAAUGGACGAGAGUCUGAUGGAGCAACGCCGCGUGAGUGAAGAAGGGUUUCGGCUCGUAAAACUCUGUUGUUAAAGAAGAACAUAUCUGAGAGUAACUGUUCAGGUAUUGACGGUAUUUAACCAGAAAGCCGCGGCUAACUACGUGCCAG